rnacentral:lncRNA from 1 species
UUUAAUCUUCACUCAAAUCAAUCAUUUAUCAGUAAAUCUUUCACUAAUUUUUUUGUUACUGAUCAUGCUUUUUCAAAUAUGCAUAUGAUUGUGUUAGAUUGUGUGAAGAGGUUAAAAAGUGCUUAGGUUAGUAUUUAGGCCAAGAGUUUAGAGUUAGAAGAACUGAGAGGGUUUUAAAAUAGAAACAAAGAGAUUUGAUUAGAAAGGAGAGAAUGAUUACGGGGCUUGGUUAUAUAGGACUGUAGGCUAUGUUGCCUUCUAGUGGUUUUAGCUCUGGCUUCACAAGUUGUGCUUGAUUUGAUUACGUGGUGGGAGAGAUCAAGCGUAUGUAUAGAGUGUAUAGAAUGUUGCCUAGUUUAUGUCUUGUGCCGGCAACUUGGGAUAUCUCGACCAUUCUUAGCCACGUGUGUUUGUGGCUUGCAAUCUUCAUUUGUGUUUGUCAUUUGUAUUCGACCAAGUUAAUUAUUUUGCUACUUGGGACAUCUGCACCACCAUUCUUAGCCACAUGUGUAGUGUAG